UACGUAGGGUGCAAGCGUUGUCCGGAAUUAUUGGGCGUAAAGGGUGUGUAGGCGGUUGUUUAAGUUUGGUGUGAAAUCUCCCGGCUCAACUGGGAGGGUGCGCCGAAUACUGAAUGACUUGGAGUGCGGGAGAGGUGAGUGGAAUUCCUGGUGUAGAGGUGAAAUUCGUAGAUAUUGGGAAGAACACCGGUGGCGAAGGCGGCGACCUGGUCCUUUUACUGACGCUGAGGCGCGAAAGCGUGGGGAGCAAACAGG
rnacentral:rRNA from 1 species